CCGACGGUGAGAGGUGAAAGCUGGGGGCACGAACCGGAUUAGAUACCCGGGUAGUCCCAGCCGUAAACGAUGCUCGCUAGGUGUCUGGGAUGGUGCGACCGUUUCAGGUGCCGCAGGGAAGCCGUGAAGCGAGCCACCUGGGAAGUACGGCCGCAAGGCUGAAACUUAAAGGAAUUGGCGGGGGAGCACUACAACGGGUGGAGCCUGCGGUUUAAUUGGACUCAACGCCGGAAAACUCACCAGAUAA
rnacentral:rRNA from 1 species